rnacentral:tRNA from 1 species
AUUUAAAUAGCUUAUAAUUAGAGCGUGGCUUUGAAGGUGCUAAGGAGGUUUUUAAACCUUUAAAUA